CAUCAUUAACAUUUAUUGACCAGCGCGGCUGGAAUUUCCCAGAGAGAGGAAUUAAUCUCGCUACCAACUGAGAGCAGACAUCCUGCUGGGAGUAAAGAGAGUCCGAGGCUUUGCAGCCUCCGGAGCUCCUGACUCUCAGGGUUGCAAGCGUGGAAGGACCUCUCAGCUUCAUCCCCAGUCUUCCGUCCUCCUCUUUUUUCCAAGCUGCGGAGAAAAAUGCAAACAGCUGAAAUCGCCUCAGUAGUGCACCCAUUUCCUCCCAUCCCGCAAAAUGCCAGAUUAUGUCAUUCACAGGAGGAAGGAUUCUUUCAAUAAAGAUCUUUUGCUAAAAAAAAA